GGACAUAGCUCAGUGGCACAGCAUCUGCCUUGUGUGCAGAAGGUCCCAGGUUCAAUCCCUGGCAUGUCCA